rnacentral:ncRNA from 2 species
CUAUCAUCCCCGCCCUCAGGUGCCCAAUGCCAUGAUGGCAACGGGAGAAUCGGGAAGGCGGUGCAAAUCCGCCGCGUGCCCAACGCUGUAAGGAUGAUGCCGCGCACAAAUGCCACUGGCUGCCCAGCCGGGAAGGUGUGCCAAGGCAGACGACUCCAAGCCAGAAGACCGGCCUGAGCCAUUUUUGGCGC